AUUGAACGCUGGCGGCAUGCUUUACACAUGCAAGUCGAACGGUAACAGCACUUCGGUGGCUGACGAGUGGCGAACGGGUGAGUAAUACAUCUGAACGUGCCUAGUAGUGGGGGAUAACUACUCGAAAGAGUAGCUAAUACCGCAUGAGAUCUAAGGAUGAAAGCAGGGGACCUUCGGGCCUUGCGCUACUAGAGCGGCUGAUGGCAGAUUAGGUAGUUGGUGGGAUAAAAGCUUACCAAGCCGACGAUCUGUAGCUGGUCUGAGAGGACGACCAGCCACACUGGGACUGAGACACGGCCCAGACUCCUACGGGAGGCAGCAGUGGGGAAUUUUGGACAAUGGGCGCAAGCCUGAUCCAGCAAUGCCGCGUGCAGGAUGAAGGCCUUCGGGUUGUAAACUGCUUUUGUACGGAACGAAAAGCCCUCUUCUAAUACAGGAGGGUCAUGACGGUACCGUAAGAAUAAGCACCGGCUAACUACGUG
rnacentral:rRNA from 1 species